UCUAAUAUGGCAGAAAAGUGCAAUGGAUUUAAGCUCCAUAUAUAAAGAUUCAAACCUUUUAUUAGAA
rnacentral:tRNA from 1 species